rnacentral:rRNA from 1 species
CAGUCGCCGCGGUAAUACGAAGGGGGCUAGCGUUGCUCGGAAUGACUGGGCGUAAAGGGUGCGUAGGCGGUUUGGCAAGUCUUGCGUGAAAUCUAUGGGCUCAACCCAUAGCCUGCACGAGAAACUACCGGGCUUGAGUGAUGGAGAGGUGAGUGGAACUUCCGGUGGAUCGGUGAAAUGCGUUGAGAUCGGAAGGAACGCCCGUGGCGAAAGCGAGGCCCUGGACCCUUUCUGACGCUGAGACGCGAAAGCCAGGGGAGCGAACGGGAUUAGAUACCCCUGUAGUCCCUGUCUCUUAUAC